GGGCAGCAUGGAAGAAGCUUGCUUCUUCUGAUGGCGACCGGCGCACGGGUGCGUAACGCGUAUCAAACCUGCCUCAUACUCGGGAAUAGCCUUGCGAAAGUAAGAUUAAUACCCGAUGUUGUUAUGUUACCGCAUGGUGAUAUAACCAAAGAUUUAUCGGUAUGAGAUGGUGAUGCGUCCGAUUAGGUAGUAGGCGGGGUAACGGCCCACCUAGCCAUCGAUCGGUAGGGGUUCUGAGAGGAAGGUCCCCCACACUGGAACUGAGACACGGUCCAGGACUCCUACGGGAGGCAGCAGUGAGGAAUAUUGGUCAAUGGACGAAAGUCUGAACCAGCCAAGUAGCGUGCAGGAUGACGGCCCUCUGGGUUGUAAACUGCUUUUAGUUGGGAAUAAAAAAGAGGACGUGUCCUCUAUUGUAUGUACCUUCAGAAAAAGGACCGGCUAAUUCCGUGCCAGCAGCCGCGGUAAUACGGAAGGUCCAGGCGUUAUCCGGAUUUAUUGGGUUUAAAGGGAGCGUAGGCGGAUUAUUAAGUCAGUGGUGAAAGACGGUGGCUCAACCAUCGUUAGCCAUUGAAACUGGUAGUCUUGAGUGCAGACAGGGAUGCUGGAACUCGUGGUGUAGCGGUGAAAUGCUUAGAUAUCACGAUGAACUCCGAUCGCGAAGGCAGGUGUCCGGGCUGCAACUGACGCUGAGGCUCGAAAGUGUGGGUAUCAAACAGGAUUAGAUACCCUGGUAGUCCACACAGUAAACGAUGUAUACUCGCGGUUUGCGAUAUAUUGUAAGCCGCCAAGCGAAAGCAUUA
rnacentral:rRNA from 1 species